GAUGAAGAACGCAGCGAAAUGCGAUAAGUAAUGUGAAUUGCAGAAUUCAGUGAAUCAUCGAAUCUUUGAACGCACAUUGCGCCCGCCAGUAUUCUGGCGGGCAUGCCUGUCUGAGCGUCAUUUCAACCCUCAUGCCCCUAGGGCGUGGAGUUGGGGAUCGGCCAAAGCCCGCGAGGGACGGCCGGCCCCUAAAUCUAGUGGCGGACCCGUCGUGGCCUCCUCUGCGAAGUAGUGAUAUUCCGCAUCGGAGAGCGACGAGCCCCUGCCGUUAAACCCCCAACUUUCCAAGGUUGACCUCAGAUCAGGUAGGAAUACCCGCUGAACUUAAGCAUAUCAAUAAGCGGAGGA
rnacentral:misc_RNA from 1 species